GUCUGUUAGCCUUUUAUACUUAUUUUGGCCACAUACUGAAUAGGGUUGUGUGAGGUGAAUUUUGAACUACAACUCACUAUUUCAAAAUUAAUCACUGAGUUAUAGUUGAAACCAUCUAUCAAGCGAGUUCACGUUAUCAAACGAGGACUAUGUAGACCUUCGACUUGAGUGUCUAUGGGUGGACAGUGUUGAGUAUCUGGCGGACCCCAGUCAUGUAAAAAAAAAAUUCAGAAGGUGGUUAGGUUUUCUUGUGGCCAAGUGGGAUAAAUAUCAGCCUUACUGCGAACCGCCGCAUACUCUUGACCCCCCCAAGGAGUCAACGACCUCGCCUUGAGUUCCUCUACUUCUUCUUCUUCCUCGUCGGUAAGAUCCUGGUGUAUGUCGGCGACCACACUUUCAGGAGUCCCCGG